UACGGGAGGAGCGAGCAUUAUUCAAAAUGAUUAGGCGUAAAGAGUUUGUAGGUGGUUUAAUAAGUUGAAAAAUAAAAAAUAAAGCUUAACUUUAUUUCGUUUUCAAAACUUUUAAACUUGAGUAUAAAUAGAAGAUAAUAGAAUUUCUAUUGUAGGGAUAAAAUCUGUUGAUAAUAGAAAGAAUGCCAAAAGCGAAAGCAAUUAUCUAGGUAUAUACUGACAUUGAGAAACGAAAGCUUGGGUAGCGAACGGG
rnacentral:rRNA from 1 species